rnacentral:rRNA from 1 species
UGUGACCUCAAAUCAGGUAGGACUACCCGCUGAACUUAAGCAUAUCAAUAAGCGGAGGAAAAGAAACUAACAAGGAUUCCCCUAGUAACUGCGAGUGAAGCGGGAAAAGCUCAAAUUUAAAAUCUGGUGGUCUUUUGGCCGUCCGAGUUGUAAUCUAGAGAAGUGUUAUCCGCGCUGGACCGUGU